CGUAGAGGAUUACGCCACAAGACCAAAUAUCGGCCUUGGCGCCGUCGUAGCCUCUUUUCCCAAUCACCUCGGGCGCGACAUAGGCCGGCGUGCCGCACGUAGUGUGCAGCAGGCCGUCGUGCCGGAGGUGCUCGGAGAAAGUGCUGAGGCCGAAGUCGGUGACCUUGAGGUUGCCGUCGUCGUCGAGGAGAAGGUUCUCUGGCUUGAGGUCACGGUGGUAGACGCCGCGGCUGUGGCAGAAGUCCACAGCAGAGAUGAGUUGUUGGAAGUAAAGUCUGGCCAUCUCCUCCCGGAGACGGCCUCUGGCGAUCUUGUUGAAGAGCUCGCCGCCGCGGACGAGCUCCAUGGCGAUGUAGAUCUUGGACUUGCUCGCCAUGACCUCGUGAAGCUGCACGAUGUUUGGGUGCUUCACCAUGUUCAU
rnacentral:lncRNA from 1 species